rnacentral:rRNA from 1 species
GACGAACGCUGGCGGCGUGCCUAAUACAUGCAAGUCGAACGCAGUUGCGAACGGGUGAGUAACGCGUGGGUAACUGCCUAAUAGCGGGGGAUAACUAUUGGAAACGAUAGCUAAUACCGCAUAAUUUGAGAUGGACCUGCGUUGUAUUAACUAGGUGGUGAGGUAAAGGCUCAACAAGGCGAAGAUACAUAGCCGACCUGAGAGGGUGAUCCGCCAAACUGGGAAUGGAAAACUGACCAAGUCCCCGAGGGAGGCAGCAGGAGGGAAGCCUCCGGAAUGGGCGGAAGGCUGGCCGGGGAACGCCCCGGGGGUGAAGAAGGUUUUCCGGACGUAAAACUCCUUUGUUUGAGGAGCGGUAACUAACCAGAAAGGGACGGCUAACUACGUGCCAGCAGCCGCGGUAAUUC